rnacentral:rRNA from 1 species
UACGAGGGACCUAGCGUUGUUCGGAAUCAUUGGGCGUAAAGGGUGUGUAGGCGGCCAAGUAAGUCAGUUGUGAAAGCCCCGGGCUCAACCCGGGAAGCUGCUUCUGAGUACUGCUUGGCUUGGAGUAUUGGAGAGGUGAGUGGAAUUCCAGGUGUAGUGGUGAAAUACGUAGAUAUCUGGAGGAACACCGGGCGGCGAAGGCGGGCUCACUGGCCAUAUACUGGACGCUGAAACA